UGGCGGACGGGUGAGUAACGCGUGGGUAACCUGCCUUAUACAGGGGAGUAACAGUUAGAAAUGACUGCUAAUACCGCAUAAGCGCACAGGAUUGCAUGAUCUGGUGUGAAAAACUCCGGUGGUAUAAGAUGGACCCGCGUCUGAUUAGCUGGUUGGUGAGGUAACGGCCCACCAAGGCGACGAUCAGUAGCCGACCUGAGAGGGUGACCGGCCACAUUGGGACUGAGACACGGCCCAAACUCCUACGGGAGGCAGCAUG
rnacentral:rRNA from 1 species